AACCAUAGAAACCUGCGGAGUACCUGCGGAGGGAUCAUUAUAGUAUAUGGAAUCUCCAUUCUAUAAACCCACUCUGCGUAUCUUGUAACUGUUGCUUCCAUGGGACUUGGUUCCGCCACACCGGCUUCACGGCUGGUGAGCGCCCAUGGAAGGAGAAACGAAACUCUUCUUUGAAAUGUAGUCAGUCUGAACAAGUUUUUAUAAACGUUAAAACUUUUAGCAACGGAUCUCAGAUCGGAA
rnacentral:misc_RNA from 1 species